AUUGAACGCUGGCGGAAUGCUUUACACAUGCAAGUCGAACGGCAGCACGGACUUCGGUCUGGUGGCGAGUGGCGAACGGGUGAGUAAUGUAUCGGAACGUGCCCAGUCGUGGGGGAUAACGUAGUGAAAAUUACGCUAAUACCGCAUACGAUCUAUGGAUGAAAGCGGGGGAUCGCAAGACCUCGCGCGAUUGGAGCGGCCGAUAUCAGAUUAGGUAGUUGGUGGGGUAAAGGCCCACCAAGCCAACGAUCUGUAGCUGGUCUGAGAGGACGACCCACCAGACUGGAACUGAGACACGGUCCAGGCGGCUACGGGAGGCAGCAGUGGGGAAUUUUGGACAAUGGGCGAAAGCCUGAUCCAGCCAUUCCGCGUGCAGGAUGAAGGCCCUCGGGUUGUAAACUGCUUUUGUACAGAACGAAAAGGUUUCUACUAAUACUAGGAGCUCAUGACGGUACUGUAAGAAUAAGCACCGGCUAACUACGUGCCAGCCGCCGCAGUAA
rnacentral:rRNA from 1 species